AGAGUUUGAUCCUGGCUCAGGAUGAACGCUAGCUACAGGCUUAACACAUGCAAGUCGAGGGGCAGCAUGAAAGGAACUUCGGUUCUUUUUGAUGGCGACCGGCGCACGGGUGCGUAACGCGUAUCGAACCUGCCUCAUACUCGGGGAUAGCCUUGCGAAAGUAAGAUUAAUACCCGGCGGUCUCGGAUGGCCGCAUGACUGUCCGAGUGAAGAUUUAUCGGUAUGAGAUGGCGAUGCGUCCCAUUAGCUAGUUGGUGAGGUAAUGGCUCACCAAGGCAUCGAUGGGUAGGGGUUCUGAGAGGAAGGUCCCCCACAUUGGAACUGAGACACGGUCCAAACUCCUACGGGAGGCAGCAGUGAGGAAUAUUGGUCAAUGGACGAAAGUCUGAACCAGCCAAGUAGCGUGCAGGAUGACGGCCCUCUGGGUUGUAAACUGCUUUUAGUUGGGAAUAAAAAGAGGGACGUGUCCCUUAUUGUAUGUACCAUCAGAAAAAGGACCGGCUAAUUCCGUGCCAGCAGCCGCGGUAAUACGGAAGGUCCAGGCGUUAUCCGGAUUUAUUGGGUUUAAAGGGAGCGCAGGCGGCGGCGUAAGUCAGUUGUGAAAUCGUGCGGCUUAACCGUGCAAUUGCAGUUGAUACUGCGUCGCUUGAGUGCACACAGGGAUGUUGGAAUUCAUGGUGUAGCGGUGAAAUGCUUAGAUAUCAUGAAGAACUCCGAUCGCGAAGGCAUAUGUCCGGAGUGCAACUGACGCUGAGGCUCGAAAGUGUGGGUAUCAAACAGGAUUAGAUACCCUGGUAGUCCACACAGUAAACGAUGAAUACUCGCGGUUGGUUCGUUAGAGUCAGCCGCCAAGCGAAAGCGUUAAGUAUUCCACCUGGGGAGUACGCCGGCAACGGUGAAACUCAAAGGAAUUGACGGGGGCCCGCACAAGCGGAGGAACAUGUGGUUUAA
rnacentral:rRNA from 1 species